rnacentral:rRNA from 1 species
GAAAUAAAUUUAAUUUAUUAUUAAAAUUUACUUUUCUUAUUUGGUUAGAAAUUUAUUUUUUUAUAAAAAAAUAAUAGGGGAUAAUCUCUAUUUUUAAUCUAUAAUUUAUUUAUUUUUGUUUAUAGUAGGAUUAAAAUCUUCCAUCUUUAUAUUACGUUAUAGUAUAAAACUUUUUUUAUUAAUUUUUUAAUUUUUAGUAAUUUAUUAAAAUUUUUAAUUAAAUAUUCUAUUUAAAGUAAUUAUGAUUAAAUUAGUAUAUUUAUAAGUUUGAAUAUUUAUUAUUUACACAUGUAAAUAAGGAACUCGGCAAAAUUUAUUGUAUUCGCCUGUUUAUCAAAAACAUGUCCUCUUGUUUAUAUAUGAGGUCUGACCUGCCCAGUGAAAAUUUUAACGGCCGCGGUAUUUUGACYGURCAAAGGUAGCAUAAUCAUUAGUCUUUUAAUAGAAGACUGGAAUGAAAGGUUUAACGAAUUAUUAGCUGUCUCAUUUAUAUACGGUAUAAUUUAAUUUUUAAGUUAAAAGGCUUAAAUUUUAUUGAUGGACGAGAAGACCCUAUAGAGCUUUACAUUUUAUUUUUAAUAUUAUUUUGUUACAUAUAUUUUUAUUAAAAAGCUUAAUGUUUUGUUGGGGUGAUAAAAUUAUAUAAUAAACUUUUUUAUUUAUAAACAAUUAUUUUUGAUUAAAUGAUCCAAUAUUAUUGAUUAAUAGAUUAAGUUACCUUAGGGAUAACAGCGUAAUAU